CUUGCUAGAUGAUGAUGACCAAGUGGCGUUUUCUUUCAUUCUGGACAACAUUGUCACCCAGAAAAUGAUGGCAGUUCCAGAUUCUUGGCCAUUUCAUCACCCAGUUAAUAAGAAAUUUGUUCCAGAUUAUUACAAAGUGAUUGUCAAUCCAAUGGAUUUAGAGACCAUACGUAAGAACAUCUCCAAGCACAAGUAUCAGAGUCGGGAGAGCUUUCUAGAUGAUGUAAACCUUAUUCUGGCCAACAGUGUUAAGUAUAAUGGGUACAUGUGCACAAUGUGCAGGACCUGAGAGUCAGUAUACUAAGACUGCCCAGGAGAUUGUGAACGUCUGUUACCAGACAUUGACUGAGUAUGAUGAACAUUUGACUCAACUUGAGAAGGAUAUUUGUACAGCUAAAGAAGCAGCUUUGGAGGAAGCAGAAUUAGAAAGCCUGGACCCAAUGACCCCAGGGCCCUACACGCCUCAGGCCAAGCCUCCUGAUUUGUAUGAUACCAACACAUCCCUCAGUAUGUCUCGAGAUGCCUCUGUAUUUCAAGAUGAGAGCAAUAUGUCUGUCUUGGAUAUUCCCACUGCCACUCCAGAAAAGCAGGUAACACAGGAAGGUGAAGAUGGAGAUGGUGAUCUUGCAGAUGAAGAGGAAGGAACUGUACAACAGCCUCAAGCCAGUGUCCUGUAUGAGGAUUUGCUUAUGUCUGAAGGAGAAGAUGAUGAGGAAGAUGCUGGGAGUGAUGAAGAAGGAGACAAUCCUUUCUCUGCUAUCCAGCUGAGUGAAAGUGGAAGUGACUCUGAUGUAGGAUCUGGUGGAAUAAGACCCAAACAACCCCGCAUGCUUCAGGAGAACACAAGGAUGGACAUGGAAAAUGAAGAAAGCAUGAUGUCCUAUGAGGGAGACGGUGGGGAGGCUUCCCAUGGUUUGGAGGAUAGCAACAUCAGGUACCAAUGAACAAGCCAUUCAGAGAUGGAUCCACAAAGAUCUCUGGGGCAACGACCAGGUCCUGCUCUACCUGAUUCUCAGCUUUGGGGACAGAAUUCCCAGAAACAUCUGUGUCCGGAGUUGGUUCCUUCCAGUGGGUUCUUGGUCUUGCUGACUUCAAGAAUGAAGCCGUGGACCUUCACGCUUCAGGCCGAAGAUAGUGAAAAUCCGUGCCAGACUUGGAUUGGAAGAAUGAACCAAGGCUUUGAGUCUCAUCGUCUCAUCUCCGUUUUGAUACGCGUCUCCUUAAGUUUGUAAGCCAAGGAGAGGACUACAGUGAGGAUUGUGGAGGGAAGUGGACCUUAUUGGUCUUUGAGCUCUCACAUCUUUAAAGACUGUUGGUGCUGAGAGAAAAAGUAUCCUCAUCUGGCAGAACUCCCACAGGGUGUGCUCCCCUUGCUAUUCUGCUUUUGUUUUGCAGAAAGCUGCCUUUUUCAAUGUACUCAUUAGGCUUUCAUUGUUUGUUCCUUUUUUACCUUUUUCAUCUUUCACUGUUGAUAUCACAGGUGGCCAUAUCUUUACCAGUGCAGCUGCCAAAUAAGAAAUAAUCUUUUCCACAUUCACUAGCUAGUGAUGGUUGUUGUACUACCAUGAAAUCAGUUUCUUCUUUACUUUUAUUCAGGUUACAAGAUUUCUGGAAGGUUUUAAGAUCAAUUUUAAUUAGUCUUUGUGACUGGUUACUUCAUCCAGGGGACCAAUUUCUCUCUGGAAUAUUAGCCCCACACCCCUGGAGAGCCUGUGCGGCUGCAUCUCCCUCUGGAGGUGGUUCUGGAGUUGGUUCCUUUCGGUGGGUU
rnacentral:sRNA from 1 species